GGGGUUGACCGGAAUUGACAGGCUUGGGCUGGGUAUGUAAGCAUGCCGAGUAUGUUAACCACUCGUAAAUCAGGUUGCAAACGCCUUAACUGGCAACACUUCUUUCGCAAUGGCUGCCUAAUCCAACUGAUUAGCCAGUUCCAUUCAUCCCGGAAAUCUUUCGCCUAACAGGAUUUCCAUACGGGAUGUCGCAUCGUAAAGGCUAGGAUACUGAAGCUUCGGCUGUACUCCGAAAAUUUAGAAGCUUAGCCGUGGGCAAAGGUCUUCACUGCACCUGCCUACCGGUGAAAUUUAAGCAAAUGAUAAGCAUGUAGAAAGCGUAUUGCACUCUUUCUCUGGACGAGGGUUCGACUCCCUCCAACUCCACUU
rnacentral:tmRNA from 1 species